rnacentral:rRNA from 1 species
AACCUACGGGUGGCUGCAGUGGGGAAUAUUGGACAAUGGACCAAAAGUCUGAUCCAGCAAUUCUGUGUGUUUGAUGAAGGCCUUCGGGUUGUAAAGAACUUUAAGUAGGGAAGAAGAAAGUGACGGUACCUACAGAAUAAGCGACGGCUAAAUACGUGCCAGCAGCCGCGGUAAUACGUAUGUCGCAAGCGUUAUCCGGAAUUAUUGGGCAUAAAGCGCGUCUAGGCGGUUUACUAAGUCUGAUGUGAAAAUGCGGAGCUCAACUCCGUAUUGCGUUGGAAACUGGUAGACUAGAGUAUUGGAGAGGUAGGCGGAACUACAAGUGUAGAGGUGAAAUUCGUAGAUAUUUGUAGGAAUGCCAAUGACGAAGGUAGCUUACUGGACAAAUACUGACGCUGAAGCGCGAAAGCUAGGGGAGCAAACAGGAUUAGAUACCCGUGUAGUC